UACGUAGGGACCAAGCGUUGUUCGGAUUUACUGGGCGUAAAGGGCGCGUAGGCGGCUUGACAAGUCACUUGUGAAAUCUCCGGGCUUAACUCGGAACGGUCAGCUGAUACUGCUUUGCUAGAGUGCAGAAGGGGCAAUCGGAAUUCUUGGUGUAGCGGUGAAAUGCGUAGAUAUCAAGAGGAACACCUGAGGUGAAGACGGGUUGCUGGGCUGACACUGACGCUGAGGCGCGAAAGCUAGGGUAGCAAACGGG
rnacentral:rRNA from 1 species